rnacentral:rRNA from 1 species
UACAGAGGUCUCAAGCGUUGUUCGGAUUCAUUGGGCGUAAAGCGCACGUAGGCGGAUUUGUAAGUCAGGGGUGAAAUCCCGGGGCUCAACCUCGGAACUGCCUUUGAUACUGCGAAUCUUGAGUCCGAUAGAGGUGGGUGGAAUUCCUAGUGUAGAGGUGAAAUUCGUAGAUAUUAGGAAGAACACCGGUGGCGAAGGCGGCCCACUGGAUCGGUACUGACGCUGAGGUGCGAAAGCGUGGGGAGCAAACAGG